rfam:Kibdelosporangium aridum strain DSM 43828 genome assembly, contig: LX79DRAFT_scaffold00001.1
GGAGGGCUGGCCGAGUCUGGUAAGGCACCGGCCUGCUAAGCCGUGGUCCGGGGUAACACCCGGCGCGCGUUCGAAUCGCGCGCCCUCCG